UUCGGUUUUUGAUCUGUUUAUUCGAACUGACUUCCUUUAGUAUUCAGUGGAGCUGAUUAUGUGACUUAUAUGGUCAAGUUGUGUUUUGUUUGUUUUUCUUUUGUGCUUUAAUUCUCUUGAUUGGUUGUGUUGAUGAUUCUAUUUCAUUCUCAAGUGACAAGUUACUGACCUGCCUUCUUUGUCGUGACAGGGCCUGAGCACCGGGGCAGAGAAUUUCUUUUAGGUGGUGGUAUCUUCCUCACAGUGUGCAGUGGUCACCUCCCAGAGUGUGAGUGUGCCCGUGUGUCUACACAGUGAAGUGCAGUGAGUCACCAGCAAGUGGUGUGGUCUGUCUUCCCUAGUUUUGGUCUCUUGGUGGACACCAGUUUUCAUUGAGACUCUGACAAACAAGAAAACAAGCUCUGGUAACCAAAAUAAGAUGAAAUAUUCUUUAGAAUUUGGCACAUCUAAAACAAAAACUUGAAUGUUGUUCAUGUGCCAACUAAUCAUUUUAUUUCAUAGGAAUGAUUAGGUAGCUGUCACGGUGUGGUUUAGCGUGAAGGAGCACUGGAUGAGAAUAUAAGGUUAACGAGUUUAAUCAUACGCAUAUACAGAAGUACCUCGGGCAGGUAGACAGACAGGUAGAUGAUCUGUGGGAUCCAGAGCCCAGCCCUGAUGAUCCAAGCUGGAGCUGAUGGAGGGAGGAGCCGUGGAGGAACGGCCAUCGACUCCAUGAGGCCAAGCGACGGCGGAGGAGCAGGUGGUGAGGUGGUGAGACUGAGGUCAUCCAGAGGUGAGGGCUCCCUCUGCUGGCUUGGUCUAACAGACAUGAUUUUGACAUGGUGAAAAUGGUGUUGUUUUACACUACCUUUAAGAAAUUAUAUCUAAAGCAUUCUAUAGACCCUAAAUAAUCAACUAGAGUAAAAACACGUUUUUCGUGUAUACUUUUAGCAAAAAGAUUUACAGGUAAAAGGCUUUUAUGAAGUGUAUUACCAAAUGAAACUUACGGAGUCCCUUUUGUGUAAAAUUCUUGCUACACCAAGUCGGUCAAAUCAAGUCACCUUUAUUAAUAUAGCACUUUUAACAGAACAGGAGUAGCUUUACAGAAGUACAGCAGUGUGUCGGUGAUGUAAACACUCACUUUUCAGUUAAAGGCUGUUUAUUGAAUUCAGGGCUUUUUUCCAGCAUGAAUUAACAUGUGCUUCGUAAGGUUUGAUUUAUGUGCAAAACACUUUCCACACUGAGAGCAGAUGAAAGACUUCAUUAAUUAAUACAAAAGUUUCUGUGACGUAACUUUUAAAAUUGCAUCAAAAUGAUCCAAAUUUGACAAUUCUACUGUCUUCUGUUACAUCGAAGGUUUUUUCACCUUUCGUUAGUAAGUUAAUGAAAAUGUAGUGUUUUUAUUCAUUUCAGGUUUGAUGGAAGAUAAUGGGGAGAAAGAAAAAUUGAGAGAAUUUAAGGAAAAUAAAUCUCGUCAAAAGUGGAGAAAAACCCAAACAGAACGAUUUAAAGAAAAGAAGGGCCAAGAAAUAUUUGACCUGCACUUAAUGUGGGAAGAGUUUGAUGAACAAACACCACAUUGAGCUUCUCAGUUCAGACUGGAGAGAAAGCGUUCACUUGUGAUCAUUGCGGGAAGAUUUUCUCACUAUCCUCAACCUCAGAUUGGAAAUAAUAUUUCAUGCGUGAUGCCGGUGAUGAUGCUUCCUAUGUCCGUUUUCGGGGAACCAGAGGUCAAUUAUUUCAGUCAAUACCUCAGGCUUGACACCGAAAUCUGUGUUCUGAUUGGGUUCUAGUACAUACCGGUUACUUUUCACGUUUCAAUACCCGACCCUACCACACGAAGGGAAGUUCGUUCUUGUGCUGAGAGCGUUGUUUUGAAUUUGUUAACCCUUGUGCACCCCUCAUCUGAGAAUCACACUUAUGGUCUUUGUAGUACCUUUGUUGGAGACACUUUUUUGCUAUGAAUGGACUACAAAGCAUUAUUCGCCUUGGGUAUUAUUGGGAAACAAACAUGCUGGAAUGAGAGUGGAGAGGUGAUCGCCGACUGCUGCUUGUUUAAGAUGGUGAUACUGUCCUCAGAACUCAAGAUUGCUCAAGAAGGGUUAAUAUGUGUGUGUAGAAAAUAAUUAAAAUUUCUAUGUGUUUUACUUUGGCUAGGUGUAGGAUACAAUACUGAUGAUUGUAUUUUUAAUUACACUACAUUUGGUUACACUUUAUUUUGACAGUCCACUUUAGAUAUUCUACUUACCAUAAGUAACUUUGUAUCUACAUGUCAACUAAUCCUGGUUAAGUUGACGUACUUGUCAAUAUGUCAGUAUGUUGUAUGUCUAUCCAAAUAAACUGUUUGUAUAUACAUGUCUGUAUGUUGCGGCCUGACCUUUCAUCACUUGCCAUCUUUAACAAAAUGUAUUCUUUCUUCAAGAAACAGGACUAUCGUCUGACAGAAGGUAAGCGCAAACAAUGGCUACCUAAAAGCGUGUUUUGAUCUGGCUGUCUUGUCAUCAGAAAAGCCCAAAAAAGGAAUAAAACCUGGCAGUGAACACGUUCCUAGAUUUCAUGAAGAGAACCGUAUGGGCCGUCAAUCCUCUAAAGUUUUAGGCGCUGGACACACCUUCAUUCCAUCACUCGUGUCUUCAAAGUAUUACCGUGAUGCUACUUUCUUCCUGUAACUUUACAGUGUUUUUUUUCAUGCCUUUUUUUGCACAAUUGAUUUCAGCAUCUGACGUGUUGUUUUAUGGGUCAAAAUUAAACACGCCCUUGAUGUAACCAA